rnacentral:rRNA from 1 species
CACACGACUCUYGGCAACGGAUAUCUCGGCUCUCGCAUCGAUGAAGAACGUAGCAAAAUGCGAUACCUGGUGUGAAUUGCAGAAUCCCGCGAACCAUCGAGUUUUUGAACGCAAGUUGCGCCCGAGGCCUUCUGGCUGAGGGCACGCCUGCCUGGGCGUCACGC